UUUGAAAGCAAUUGAAGUACAGUGUGGUAUAAAGAGAAGUUUGUCCUUGCUAAAACUAAAGUUAAAGGAGCUUGGACUCAAGAGACGUAAAAGUGACACAAACCCUUAUUGAAAUUGAAUAAAUGAUUAUUGAACAGUUAUUAAUAAGUGGUAAUAUAGACUGCCUUAAUACUCA